rnacentral:rRNA from 1 species
AUGAACGCUGGCGGCGUGCCUAAUACAUGCAAGUCGAGCGAACGGACGAGAAGCUUGCUUCUCUGAUGUUAGCGGCGGACGGGUGAGUAACACGUGGAUAACCUACCUAUAAGACUGGGAUAACUUCGGGAAACCGGAGCUAAUACCGGAUAAUAUUUUGAACCGCAUGGUUCAAAAGUGAAAGACGGUCUUGCUGUCACUUAUAGAUGGAUCCGCGCUGCAUUAGCUAGUUGGUAAGGUAACGGCUUACCAAGGCAACGAUGCAUAGCCGACCUGAGAGGGUGAUCGGCCACACUGGAACUGAGACACGGUCCAGACUCCUACGGGAGGCAGCAGUAGGGAAUCUUCCGCAAUGGGCGAAAGCCUGACGGAGCAACGCCGCGUGAGUGAUGAAGGUCUUCGGAUCGUAAAACUCUGUUAUUAGGGAAGAACACAUGUGUAAGUAACUGUGCACAUCUUGACGGUACCUAAUCAGAAAGCCACGGCUAACUACGUG